AAUUUUGUUUGUUUUGUUUCGUCUUCUUUGAUGGCUUGCAGGUUUUCUGCAAAGCACAGGUUUAUCCAAGAAUGGAAUUUCAUCUCCGGUUAAAAUAUAGAAGAAUGGUCAGUUUGAAGAUAGUUAGAGUCAGCUUUGCAUCCAUAGCGGCCCAAUAUCUCAAGAGACAUCUUUUUAGCUUCUGAUCAGGAGAACAAGCAUCCAAAGUAUUCUAUGAACUGUUCUUUGGUAGAGUAUCAAUGACUCAAUCCAAGUUUCAAGUUCAAGUCUCAAAUCUUAAUUUCAAGAUCAAAAUUUUGAGAUCAAGGUAUCCACCAGAAGAAGGUGAGGCAAUA
rnacentral:lncRNA from 1 species